UAGUUUUUCAUAAGUGAUUAAAGUUAACAGACUCAAAAGGGAAUUCAAGUGUCAAAGUAUAUAAUAUCCACACUCAUAAAGGUUAAAAAUGGGCCUGAAGCUAUCCAUCUAAAUUCGUUUCCCCCUGCCUGUUAUUAGCUAUGUGAUAUGGCAAACUAUUUGAUCAUUCUCUGCUUCCCUUUCCUCACUUGUAAAAUGAAGAUGAGUAUUACUUGUGAAGAAUAUGUAUGAAUUAAUACAUGUUAAGCACUUAGAAGAAUAUGUGAUAUCAUGAAUACUCCAUACAAGAUAUCAUUUUAAAGAAGUACCCAGUCUCAGAUUUUACUUUCCUCAGUCGGUUUUUCACAAUCAGUUGCAGUCUGAAAAUAUUAAACUGAUAAUUUCAGAAAUAGUGCAUAGGUUUUCAUGCCAUUCUGUAGCAUGAUAAAAUCUUACACUGUCCCAAGAAGGUGUGACUCAUUCUUUUAUCCAGGCAAUGUAUCUGUGCUGUAUCUGCUACCUACUACAGUGCAGGCUGUCUCAUCACCUAUCUAGUAUUGCAGUGUGUUUAGCCAGGCACUAUUACUUUCUCCAUAUUGUGUAGUCAUUGUGUGAUUUCCUAUCACAUGCUAAGAAAAGUACAGUACAAGAAGAUUUAUGUGAGACUACCUUAACAAAUAUUUUAUUACAGAAUGUCACUAUAAGUAUCUUACUAGUUUUUAUCCUUAAUCUUUGCUGUCCCUAAUCUGUAAAUUAAACAUUAUCGCUGGGCGUGGUGGCGCACACCUUUAAUCCCAGCACUUGGGAGGCAGAGGCAGGUGGAUUUCUGAGUUCGAGGCCAGCCUGGUCUACAAAGUGAGUUCCAGGACAGCCAGGGCUACAGAGAAACCCUGUCUCGAAAAACAAAAACAAAAACAAAAACAAAAAACAUUAUCAUCAGUAUGUAUGCAUAGAGGAUAGCAUAGUAUAUGUAAGAUUCAGUAUUUUUUAAUGCAGGUAUCCAUCCACUCAGAGUCUUGGGACAUACUCUCUGAAAAUAAGUUAUAUGUGUGAAGGCUCGUUACCCUGUCUUUAAACAGACCCUUGUUUUGGCAUAUCCACAGCAUAGCUCUUUACUGACUCAUUUCUCUUCUCUUUAGUGGACUAGAGACUAUUCCUGUUAGAUGGAUUGGCGUGGGAGAUUUGAAACUAUGUUGUCUUCUCUAUCCUGACCUAUAUGAUUCUUCAUUGAACCCACAGAGAAGGUGCCAAUUACAUUGUGUUCACUUCC
rnacentral:lncRNA from 1 species